rnacentral:rRNA from 1 species
GACGAACGCUGGCGGCGUGCCUAAUACAUGCAAGUCGAGCGGACUUGACAGAGCUUGCUCUGUUCAAGUUAGCGGCGGACGGGUGAGUAACACGUGGGCAACCUGCCCUGCAGAUUGGGAUAACUCCGGGAAACCGGGGCUAAUACCGAAUAACAUUGAAAAACUCAUGGUUUUCUUUUAAAAGGCGGCUUCGGCUGUCACUGCAGGAUGAGCCCGCGGCGCAUUAGCUAGUUGGUGAGGUAACGGCUCACCAAGGCAACGAUGCGUAGCCGACCUGAGAGGGUGAUCGGCCACACUGGGACUGAGACACGGCCCGGACUCCUACGGGAGGCAGCAGUAGGGAAUCUUCCACAAUGGGCGAAAGCCUGAUGGAGCAACGCCGCGUGAGUGAGGAAGGCUUUCGGGUCGUAAAGCUCUGUUGCCAGGGAAGAAUAAGGGCGAGUUAACUGCUCGUCCGAUGACGGUACCUGAGAAGAAAGCCCCGGCUAACUACGUGCCAGCCGCCGCAGUAAAAC